CCACCCUUAGCUCAACGGUAGAGCAGUCGCCUUAUACGCGAUUGGUUCGGGGUUCGAAUCCCUGAGGGUGGA
rnacentral:tRNA from 1 species